AUGAGGCUAGAUGGCCUCACAAGAUGGCGCCGCGCUGGAAGCGUAACUUCUGCGUUUCUAGGAGCUUCGCGCUGCGGCUGGUUUAAGAUUCUAGGGUUGUACAGGCCCACGCCAGACACGUCUGGCAAGAACCUCGGCCUCAGAGAUGGCUCUGAGCAAAUCAAUGCAUGCAAGAAAUAGAUACAAGGACAAACCUCCUGACUUUGCAUAUCUGGCAUCCAAAUAUCCAGAUUUUAAGCAGCAUGUUCAGAUAAAUCUGAAUGGAAGAGUGAGCCUUAAUUUUAAAGACCCUGAAGCAGUCCGAGCUCUGACUUGUACUCUCCUAAGGGAAGAUUUUGGACUUUCUAUUGAUAUUCCGCUGGAGAGACUAAUUCCCACAGUUCCCUUGAGACUCAACUAUAUUCACUGGGUAGAAGAUCUGAUUGGUCACCAGGACUCUGACAAAAGUUCUCUCCGAAGAGGAAUUGACAUAGGUAUAUGGUCUUAAAUUCGUUUUUGGCUAAACAUAGGUUUCAUAAGUUUUGCAUGAUCAAAUUCUUUGUAAACUUUUCUACUGGGUAUUUGUUGUUGCGUAAGAGAAGCUGGCUGAAGAUACAGGUUAAGCAUCCUUAAUCUGAAAAUCCGAAAUGCUUCAGAAUCUGAAACCUUUUGAACGUGGAUAUGCUGCUCAGAGGCGAUGCGUAUUGGAGCUUUGCAGAUUUUGGGGUUAGGGAUGUUCAAUCAGUAAAUAUCAUGCAAAUAUUUCAAAAUCUGAAAAAAAAAAAACUGAAAUCCAAAACACUUCUCAUCCCAGGCAUUUUCGAUUAGGGAUCCUUCACCUGUAUUACUGUUCUUAUUUACUCCACCUGGCCUUUUCUCCCAUUGAUUUCUCUUGAGAAGGGAUUGUCCAAACAGGGAGCAGGAGGUUAAGGGAAGUACGAAACCAAAGUGAGGCUCUUGCUUGCUUAGCUUUUCAUUUUCUUUCUUUCUUUUU